CCAGGGACCUUUCGCGGAGCAUCCGUGAGCGCUGGGAGCCGCGGCGUCUGCGGGCUGCGGCGGCGGCGGGGCUGGAACGAGCGGGGCGGGCACGGCUCAUCGUCACUGGGGUGUGCAGACCAUCCAAAGUAGCCGGACACGUGGACCUCAGGUUUUAGGAGGGUGCGCAUAAUUCUGGAAUUCUCUGAAUUCAAAACUAGGAAGACGGACUCACCAGGACAAACAUGAGGAGCGCAGCCAAGCCCUGGAAUCCGGUCCUCAAAGCGGGCAGCCAUGGGACAGACCGGACGCGGCCCCUGCCGGCGGCGCCCUCUGGCAUGAAGAGUUCGAAAUCUUCCACCUCGCUGGCGUUUGAGUCCCGGCUCAGCAAGCUCAAGAGGGCCAGUAGUGAGGACAUGCUCAACAAACCGGGAAGUACCACCGCUUCCGGGGUGGUUCGACUGAAAAAGACUUCAACAGCUGGAGCCAUCUCCGAGCUUGCAGAGAGCCGCCUGCGGAGCAACCCAGGGGCCGUGCCAACAACCAAACGGACAGGCAUUCCAGCUCCUCGAGAACUUUCAGCAACUGUCUCGAGAGAGAGAACCGUGCCACGCGGUCCCUCCAACCCCAGGAAGCCAGUGUCUAGUCCCACUUCUUCCAGCACGCCCACCCCUACUAAGCACCUGAGGACCACUUCCACGAGACCCAAGCAAGAGCCUGAAGGCGGGGAGAAGGCUGUGCUCGAGUCCCAGGUUCGGGAACUUCUCGCCGAAGCCAAAGCAAAAGACAGUGAAAUUAACAGGCUUCGAAGCGAACUGAAGAAAUGCAAGGAAAAAAGGACUCCAGGCGCCGAAGGAGCUGAGGCUUCAGACGCCAGUCCAGACAGAACCUCCUCCUUGCUGGGUGACUCAGAACCCCUGAUACGCACUCUAGAGGAGAAAAACAAGAGUUUCCAGAAAGAACUUGCAGAGCUCGAGGAGGAGAACCGGGCCCUGAGGGAGAAACUGACUUACCUGGAGCAUUCCCCAAAUUCAGAGGGGGGCGUGAGUCACACUGGGGACAGUAGCUGCCCGACGUCCCUAACUCAGGAGUCAAGCUUCGGCAGCCCGACGGGGCAUCAGUUGUCCAGGGACAUCGAGGAGUUCACGAACAACAGACACGGAAAUGCAUUACGGACAUCAGGCUCUUCGAGCAGCGACGUUACCAAAGCUUCUCUGUCCCCCGAUGCCUCCGAUUUCGAGCACAUUGCAGCAGACACCCCCUCCCAGCCCCUGUCCUCCACCAGCAACCCCUUUAAGGGCUCCAGGUGUUCGACCAGCGGCAGUUCCCCUAACAACGCAAGCGAGCUGUCCCUGGCCUCCCUCACGGAAAAGAUCCAGAAGAUUGAGGAGAAGCAUCACAGCACGGCUGAAGAGCUCCAGGCCACUUUGCAGGAACUGUCUGACCAGCAGCAGAUGGUACAGGAGCUGACCGCCGAAAACGAGAAGCUCGUGGACGAGAAGGCACUCUUAGAAACGUCCUUCCACCAGCACCGGGAGAGAGCUGAGCAGCUGAGUCAGGAAAACGAGAAACUCCUGAACCUCUUGCAGGAGCGGGUGAAGAACGAGGAGCCCGCGGCGCAGGAGGGAAAGAUCCUCGAGCUGGAGCAGAAGUGUGCGGAAAUCCUGGACCAGGGCCGCUUCGAAAGAGAAAAGCUGCUCAACAUCCAGCAGCAGCUGACCUGCAGCUUGCGGAAGGUCGAGGAGGAAAACCAAGGCGCUUUAGACAUGAUUAAACACCUGAAGGAAGAAAACGAAAAACUGAAUGGGUGUCUGGACCUGGAACGGCGGAAUAACGGCGCAAUGGCUCAGAGUCUGGAGGAGUGCAGAGCCACGCUCGAAGGGCUGCGGGUGGAACACGGGUCGCUGAAGGCUCAUUUGGAGAAUGAGAAGCAGAAGGCUUCGGAGACCAGCCCCGUGGGGCACACGGCCGAGGGCUGUGAGGUUCAAGAGAUGUUGAGGGUUGCUCGCGCCGAGAAGGAGCAGCUGGAGCUGUCUUGCACCGAGCUCAAGCAAGAGUUAGUGAAGGCCCACAGUGAAGUCAAACAUGUUUCGAGCCUGCUGGCCAAGGUGGAAAAGGAUUAUUCUUACUUGAAGGAGAUAUGUGACCAUCAGGCAGAACAACUGAGCCGAACCAGCCUGAAACUGCAAGAGAAAGCAUCGGAGAGUGAUGCAGAGAUUAAAGACAUGAAGGAGACCAUAUUUGAAUUGGAAGAUCAGGUGGAACAGCAUCGGGCUGUCAAGUUACAUAACAACCAGCUCAUCAGCGAGCUGGAAAGCAACGUGAUGAAGCUGGAAGAGCAAAAGUCAGACCUGGAAAGGCAGCUCAAGACCCUAACUAAGCAGAUUAAGGAGGAGACAGAGGAAUGGCGGCGCUUCCAGGCGGACCUCCAGACGGCGGUGGUGGUGGCCAAUGACAUCAAGUAUGAGGCCCAGCAGGAGCUGCGCGCCGUGAAGCGGAGGCUGCUGGAGGAAGAGGAGAAGAACGCCAGGCUGCAGAAGGAGCUGGGGGACAUGCAGAGCCAUGGCAGACCCGUGAACGAAGAGUCGGAACCACCCGGGGUUGAGGCUCCCGGCCGCUGGCAUGGCGUCUACGUGAGCAGGACGUCUCCGACGCCAUCGGAAUCUGCGACCACUGUUAAGUCCCUCAUCAAGUCAUUCGACUUGGGACGGCCAGGUGGAGCCGGACAGAAUAUUUCUGUCCAUAAAGCCCCCAGAAGUCCCCUGAGUGGGAUUCCAGUAAGGACCGCUCCCGCUGCUGCUGUCUCCCCAAUGCAGAGGCAUUCAACGUACAGCAGUGUUCGGCCGGCCAGCAAAGGUGUGACUCAGCGUUUGGAUCUUCCAGACCUUCCCCUCUCAGAUCUUUUAAAGGGAAGGGGUGAGGACCUGAAACCGGACCCUUAUCUCCGGAAGAGCCCCUCACUGGAGUCCCUGAGCAGACCCCCUUCUCUGGGCUUCGGGAACACGAGGCUGCUGAGUGCGUCCACUGGGGGCUUGAAACCGCAGAGCAAACUCAGCGUGGAAAGAAGAGACCCGCUGGCUGCCUUGGCCCGGGAAUAUGGUGGCUCCAAGCGUAACGCUCUCCUGAAAUGGUGCCAGAAGAAGACAGAAGGCUACGAGAACAUCGAUAUCACCAAUUUCAGCAGCAGCUGGAGCGAUGGUUUGGCCUUCUGUGCUCUCCUCCAUACCUACCUGCCUGCCCACAUUCCGUAUCAGGAGCUGAACAGUCAGGAGAAAAAAAAGAAUCUCCUGUUGGCAUUUGAAGCAGCCGAAAGUGUAGGCAUCAAACCCAGCCUGGAGCUCAGUGAGAUGCUGUACACAGACCGGCCUGACUGGCAGAGCGUGAUGCAGUAUGUGGCCCAGAUCUACAAGUACUUCGAGACGUAGAGCCAGAGGGCCGGAGAACAGCCGGCCCCCUGCCUGCAGCUGGUCCUCCAAGCACCUGGUCACUUUCCACCGGCUCGGCUACAUCCACCGCCUGCCGCACUCCAUCCGGGGGCCCAGUGCACAAACCAGAAACUGAACUGGAUCCCACCACGCCCCCGCUUUAAGUCCAGAUGCAUUUGGAGUGUGGGCCAGGGAAGCUCUGCUCCGCCUUGGCCUUCCUCCUCCCAGCCUGGGCUCCGUCCACCAGAACCGGGUGGGCCAUCUCUGGUCACACGGAGUGACUUCACUGGUGAGCGGCUGAGGUCUACCACCAACAGCACUUACAAAGUAGUCAUCUUUUUUCUGAAAACCCAGGCUCCUGCCUUUAGAAAAACUCUGCCCUCGCCACCACCCACCCCGUCAAGUAAGAAAACACCCAACAAAAUGCAAAAAGACCAACCUUCGCUCUUGCACCCCCUGGCAGUACAGGAGCCCUGCCUUUCUUGGGGAAUGUGCUUGUGUGCUCGACAACAGUUGUGACACCUAGAACUUGAUCACGCUUCUUAAAUAUUGCUGUCACCUAUGGGAAUCUGUGGAUGGAGGAGCGGAGGUGUGAGAAUCCCAGGCAGCCCCAGGGUGGCUGGCUGCGGUGUUCCCUCCGGGUGGCUGGCAGACAAGUAUGCGUCUCUGUGCUUGCACGCACUCACACUCAGAACCGCCCCCCCGCUGAAAGGGAGAUGUCAGCCACUGUCACCCCCUCCCUUUGUGUGUCGUCAUAGUCGCCCCCCCCACACUUAAUCCCCAUUCCCAUUCUCACACACACUUUGGUCCCCGGUGCCCACCCAGGUCCUCGUGUGUUUGCACGUGCAGCCCCAAGAGCUGUGUAUGUCUGGGAAUACCAGGCAGACGGCAAAGAAAAGACAGAUGCAAAACGCAAGACCCAGAAGCGUGGAGUUCUUUUAAAGACCUAGAGAGACAUCCAUGGUUCUCGUGUCACUGUGAGAUCUUCCAAGGACGGGAGCUCUGCUCCCUUGGGCUCGCAUUCUGAGGAACCUGGCAAAUGCCCACUUCUCUCGUCCUAUUCCCUUCUCACUUCAGAAAUGAGGUUAGUCGCUGGUUUUUGUUCUUCAUUCAGCUGUUGUCUGUAGCUUUUGUUGAGACCAUCAGAAGCAUCCCAAAGCGAUUAGCAUCUGGCGGUGACAGAUAGCUGUGGGGUUCUCCUCCCUCAGAGGACCCCGGCUUCUCUGAAGCUCCCCCUUCCACUUCCCCAUUGCGGGGGAAGGCAGGCGUCUCACUGGCCUGCGGAGGGAGAGGACCCGGGCCCUUCUUGGCACACCCAUUUGCCAGAUCCUGCAGGAGCUCCUCCAACUCCCAAGCUCGCCUGCCAUUUUGAGAUAGCCCCCGAGGACGUGCAGUAAGAGACAUAGAGCCUAGCUGCCUUUUUAAAAAAUAUUUUUAAUAACCCCUUUGCCCAAGCUCCCUGGGGGUUUCACUUUUCUUGACCCAGGUUAGACUUUGGCUAAGUCUAGAACAUCCUCUGUAGCUCCCUAAUUUUAACUAUGUUGGUGAAUGUUGCCUUGUUUCUGCAAAGAACACGCCCAGCAUCGUCAGGACAUGACAUGCCAACACGGAUGUAUUUAACUAUUAACAUGGACACCUAUGAUGUAUGACUGUGUCAUAUUUCUAAUAAAUAUAUUUUGUUUCGG